CAUUCCUUUUUCUGACCAUUUUCCAAUUACUUGAAAACAUGAAGCAAUAAGUAUUCUGGAUCUCCUCAGGACCACAAAAUGCUGAGCACAUUAGGAUUGAUCGGGGCCGCCAGGUUCUUCCGGAAGGUGCCCGGGGCGGGAGCGGGAUGCUGGUCUGAGAGCUGGGGAGCUUCCGUGAGUAUCCUUCUUCGUGUGAGCUGCCCCGGGGCACUGGACCUCUGCCUUCACUCAGGAUUGAUGCAUCCUUCCUGGUUUCGCCGGGCCCCCUGCGUCCACGAUUAAUAGGAAGGUUCCCUGUUCUAUCUUGGUUCCCUGCCCUCCAUUUCCUAAAAACUGUAACUUACUAAACUGUCAUCAAUUACUGUGUUAAUUACAACAAGUAGAUUAAUAAAAUGAUAUAAAGUCCAGUCAUUUUGUCUUCAGUAUGACUCCAGUGUAUCCACACGGCUGCACUCUAGAAGUUCAGACGAGAACAGCAUCUUGAGCCCUGAAACCUGCUUUCCACUAAUGUUAACAAUUUCGCAGCAUCACGUACUCCCAGGCCUUGGCAGAGCUGUGCAACAGACAGUUUCUGUGUGAAUCCCUGCACUUCCGGGAAGGUCAUUCCUAGGUGUUGGAUGUUUUGUUCAUCGUGUGCAUCCCCAUAUACAUUCUGUAACUAGGAUAAGUCAGAGCUAUCCACGGUUGCAUAUUUGCCCCAUCCAGCCAUGCUGCUGGAGGUAUUUUAUGAGUUCCAGCGAUUUUCUUUGGUUACUCCCAGUUCCCUUGCUUUGCAGUCAAGUCAUUUGCAGACAUGUCACGUUCUUGUUUGGGAGUAUUUGAAGCUAUUGCUUUUGUUGUCUCCUUCUUACAGUAGCAGGACAUUUGAAGACAAUACUGAAUAAAAGCAGGGAUUAUCAGGAUUCACGUGGGAUUUUAACAGGAAUGCUUUUCUUUGAGAUAACUAUUUGGAGCAUUCUUUUAUUUUCUUGCACACUUAUUGGUCUGUUUUCUCCUUUAGCCAAUGGGAUCAUUUCUUUGCUUAAAAAAAUCUGUGGGCUUUCUUUUGAGAUUUGCACAGGUACUCCGUAGAUCAGAAAUGAGGAGGAGGGCUUGCCAGCAGGUGCGAGGGGGCAGGACCUGGGAACAUGUCCACUUGGACACUGAUCUGGAGGAGAUCUUGUCAUUGGGCUCGUGACUGCUUAGAAUACACACACGUGGCAAGUAAGCACAGGCAGAAGCUCGCUCUGUUUGGUCAUGAGGGAAGCGCCCAUCAAACCGCAGGGGGACACCGCUAGCUAUCGGCCUCUCGGAAUAACUUCCAUUGAAGAAAACGACCAACAGAGGCUUGGCGAGGACGCAGAGGCUCUGAGACAUGCACCCUGCCAGCGGGAAGCGCCGCGGUGACCCAAGUAUGUCAAUCCUAGGUAAUUAGUUACCCAGGAG